rnacentral:rRNA from 1 species
UACGGGGGGAGCAAGCGUUGUUCGGAUUUACUGGGCGUAAAGGGCGCGUAGGCGGUCGUGACAAGUCACUUGUGAAAUCUCCGGGCUUAACUCGGAACGGUCAAGUGAUACUGUCGGACUAGAGUACAGAAGGGGCAACUGGAAUUCUCGGUGUAGCGGUGAAAUGCGUAGAUAUUGGGAAGAACACCGGUGGCGAAGGCGGCGACCUGGUCCGAUACUGACGCUGAGGCGCGAAAGCGUGGGGAGCAAACAGG